UACAGAGGUCUCAAGCGUUGUUCGGAUUCAUUGGGCGUAAAGGGUGCGUAGGCGGCGCGGUAAGUCGGGUGUGAAAUCUCGGAGCUUAACUCCGAAACUGCAUUCGAUACUGCCGUGCUUGAGGACUGGAGAGGAGACUGGAAUUUACGGUGUAGCGGUGAAAUGCGUAGAUAUCGUAAGGAAGACCAGUGGCGAAGGCGGGCUCGUGGACAGUUCCUGACGCUGAGGCACGAAGGUCAGGGGAGCAAACGGG
rnacentral:rRNA from 1 species